rnacentral:rRNA from 1 species
CCUACGGGUGGCAGCAGUGGGGGAUUUUGUACAAUGGGGGCAAGCCUGAUGCAGCGAUGCCGCGUGGAUGAAGAAGCGCCUCGGCGCGUAAAGCCCUGUCAUCAUGGAAGAAAAUGACGGCACCUGAAGAAGAAUCUCCGGCUAACGACGUGCCAGUAGCCGCGGUAAUACGUAGGGGGCAAGCGUUAUCCGGAUUUACUGGGUGUAACGGGGGCGCAGACGGCGGUGCAAGCCAGGAGUGAAAGCCCGCGGCCCAACCCCGGGACUGCUCUUGGAACUGGGUGGCUGGAGUGCAGGAGGGGCAGGCGGAAUUCCUGGUGGAGCGGUGAAAUGCGUAGAUAACAGG